rnacentral:rRNA from 1 species
CAGGGAUUGCCCUAGUAACGGCGAGUGAAGCGGCAACAGCUCAAAUUUGAAAUCUGGCUCUCGGGCCCGAGUUGUAAUUUGUAGAGGAUACUUUUGAUGCGGUGCCUUCCGAGUUCCCUGGAACGGGACGCCAUAGAGGGUGAGAGCCCCGUCUGGUUGGAUGCCAAAUCUCUGUAAAGUUCCUUCAACGAGUCGAGUAGUUUGGGAAUGCUGCUCUAAAUGGGAGGUAUAUGUCUUCUAAAGCUAAAUACCGGCCAGAGACCGAUAGCGCACAAGUAGAGUGAUCGAAAGAUGAAAAGCACUUUGAAAAGAGAGUUAAAAAGUACGUGAAAUUGUUGAAAGGGAAGCGUUUAUGACCAGACUUGGGCUUGGUUAAUCAUCUGGGGUUCUCCCCAGUGCACUUUUCCAGUCCAGGCCAGCAUCAGUUUUCCCCGGGGGAUAAAGGCGGCGGGAAUGUGGCUCUCUUCGGGGAGUGUUAUAGCCCACCGUGUAAUACCCUGGGGGGGACUGAGGUUCGCGCAUCUGCAAGGAUGCUGGCGUAAUGGUCAUCAACGACCCGUCUUGAAACACGGACC